rnacentral:rRNA from 1 species
AAUUUUGGACAAUGGGGGCAACCCUGAUCCAGCCAUCCCGCGUGUGCGAUGAAGGCCNNNGGGUUNUCAAGCUCUUUUGGCAGNGACNAAAAGCCACCGGUUAAUACCUGGUGGUGCUGACGGUACCUGCAGAAUAAGCACCGGCUAACUACGUGCCAGCAGCCGCGGUAAUACGUAGGGUGCAAGCGUUAAUCGGAAUUACUGGGUGUAAAGCGUGCGCAGGCGGUUCGGCAAGAAGGAUGUGAAAUCCCGGGGCUUAACCUCGGAACUGCAUUCUUAACUGCCGGGCUAGAGUAUGUCAGAGGGGGGUAGAAUUCCACGUGUAGCAGUGAAAUGCGUAGAGAUGUGGAGGAAUACCGAUGGCGAAGGCAGCCCCCUGGGAUGAUACUGACGCUCAUGCACGAAAGCGUGGGGAGCAAACAG